UUAACUCAAAUUUGUAUGCAGUUGGAACAGCGCCCCUAGCGGCAAAUGUAGGCAAACGUUCCAACUUCAUAAAAAAUUAGUUA
rnacentral:pre_miRNA from 1 species